AUUGAACGCUGGCGGCAGGCCUAACACAUGCAAGUCGAACGAGUGGCGGACGGGUGAGUAAUGUCUGGGAAACUGCCUGAUGGAGGGGGAUAACUACUGGAACCGGUAGCUAAUACCGCAUACCAUCAGCUCUGCCCAGAUGGGUUUAGUUUGUUGGUGGGGUAACGGCUCACCAAGGCGACGAUCCCUAGCUGGUCUGAGAGGAUGACAGGCAACACUGGAACUGAGAAACGGGCCAGAAUCCUACGGGAGGCAGCAGUGGGGAAUAUUGGACAAUGGGCGCAAGCCUGAUGGAGCCAUGCCGCGUGUAUGAAGAAGGCCUUCGGGUUGUAAAGUACUGUCAGCGGAGAGGCGUUACCCGCAGAAGAAGCACCGGCUAACUCCGUGCCAGCAGCCGCGGUAAUAC
rnacentral:rRNA from 1 species